rnacentral:misc_RNA from 1 species
GAAAUGCGAUAAUUAAUGUGAUUUGCAGAAUUCAGUGAAUCAUCGAGUCUUUGAACGCACAUUGCGCCCCCUGGUAUUCCGGGGGCAUGCCUGUCCGAGCGUCAUUGCUGCCCUCAAGCACGGCUUGUGUGUUGGGCUUCCGUCCCUGGCAACGGGGACGGGCCCAAAAGGCAGUGGCGGCACCAUGUCUGGUCCUCGAGCGUAUGGGGCUUUGUCACCCGCUCCCGUAGGUCCAGCUGGCAGCUAGCCUCGCAACCAAUCUUUUUAACCAGGUUGACCUCGGAUCAGGUAGGGAUACCCGCUGAACUUAAGC